rnacentral:rRNA from 1 species
UACGAAGGGGGCUAGCGUUGCUCGGAAUCACUGGGCGUAAAGCGCACGUAGGCGGACUCUUAAGUCAGGGGUGAAAUCCUGGAGCUCAACUCCAGAACUGCCUUUGAUACUGGGAGUCUUGAGUACGGAAGAGGCGAGUGGAAUUCCUGGUGUAGCGGUGAAAUGCGCAGAUAUCAGGAGGAACACCAAUUGCGAAGGCAGCUCGCUGGGACGUUACUGACGCUGAGACGCGAAAGCGUGGGGAGCAAACAGG